UACGAAGGUGGCAAGCGUUGUUCGGAUUUAUUGGGCGUAAAGCGUCCGCAGGCGGUUUGGAAAGUCAGAUGUGAAAUCCUACAGCUCAACUGUAGAACUGCAUUUGAAACUUCCAGACUAGAGUGCGAGAGGGGUGAGAAGAAUUUCUAGUGUAGGGGUGAAAUCCGUAGAUAUUAGAAGGAAUACCAGUCGCGAAGGCGUCUCACUGGCUCGCUACUGACGCUCAUGGACGAAAGCUAGGGGAGCGAACGGG
rnacentral:rRNA from 1 species